AAGAGGAAAGGAAAGAACACAAACCCUAGGUAGGAAAAUUGAAGAAAAAGUGUGGGAUUUCAAGGGAAUAAGCUAAUAAAGGUAAAAGCUUGUGAUUUUAUUUUGUGAUUUACACUACCCAUGCUUUCUUUUUCAUUUUCCAUGCUUAGAACUCAAGUUUGCAUGAUGAACCCAUGUUGGCCGAAUUUGAGAGGAGAGGUUUUGAGCAUUGAUUUUGCUAGAUUUCAAGCUAAUUAAGUGUUUUUGGUUGUUUGGUAAUGAAAAGUAUGAAAAUCUAGCAAGGAAUCACUUUGUUCUUCACAAACCCACAAGAGGCCUAAUUUUUCUAGGGAGGAUAUUGAGGCUGAAAUUGAUGAUAUUUCAUGAUAUUUUGGUGGUAUUUAAUGAUUGGUGAGACUAGAAAUUUAAUGGGAAAUUUUGGCAUGAAAAUUCGAAUUUUUACCUAAUGUAUAGACAUGUGCGAUUUAUGGUUCGAACUGAUAAAUUGAAUCAUAUUCAUAGUCAUUGAGGUAUUUUAAGUAUAAUUGGAGUGUAGAAAGUGAAAGAAAUCGAUUUGGAGUUAAAUUGGAGGUUUUAGCCAAUUACACCGAGAAUAGUGCGAAUUAGGUCAAAUACCGUAUUUAAACGGCUAUUCGGAUAUUUUACAUCACAUUUCGUGCAUUCAUAUAGAUCUAUAGAGCCUGAAAUAGUUUAUGAUAAAUUGACACAAUUUAUUAAAAUUCAUGUCACGUAUGAUGUAUAGGUUGUGAGCCCUCUAACAAGGGUAAAGAGAUUGUGCCCGAAGAUCGAGAAUAGGAAAUAUCGAACUCCUAGUACUGUGAGUAACCUUAUUAUCGUCUUAAUUAUCUAAAGUGGUUUUUAUCCAAUUUUGUGAAUUUCAUGAAAAAUGAAUGAAAUGAUUAAUUUUUUGGUUUUAUAAACCAAAUGUGAUUUAAUGAAAUGAUUUCAUAAAAUUGUUUUAAAAUUGAAUUAUGGCUUUGAAAAUAGAGUAAUUGGAGACCAUUUGAAGUAUUAUGAAUUUAUGGUUCUAAUUGAUUUGCUUAUGACAAAAUUGGCAUGAAUGGCUAAAUUGGUAUUUGUGUUGAAAUGUAUAAAUUGUCGUUUGCCUUGAUAGGCUGGAUAAUGAUAAAAUUACCAUGUUAUGCUGUUGAAUUUUUAUUGUAUGGUAGGUUUAGCUUGCUGCAAUGGGCUGGUUCUGUGGACUAGCCUAUUAGAGGGGCACGGAACCUGGUCAUAUUCUUACCUCGGUUGGAGAGGCGAGUAGGGUAACUCCCGAGGUAUAACUUUAGAGUUCACUUCAAACCAAACCACCUCGUGAUGAUGAACUCCGCUAACGCCAAAGAACGACUAUAUUUUUAAAAUAAAAACAUGAUUUAUGCGUACAUAACUUUUUAAUAGCCUUGGCGGACUCGGUUUGGGAUAACCUUUGGCCAAGGUAUCCCUGAUGACUGAGUAUGAUAAAGAUUUUGGCACGAGCCAAAGUUUUAAGAAAUUCAUAAGCCAUGUUAAUUACUCGAUUUAUAUGAAUUGAUUUUAUUUGGUUGAAACAAGUUGAAAGGUGAUGAAUUUCAAUAUGUUAAAAUAUUUUAUCUAUCUCCAUUUACUCGACUUUAGAUGGUUUAGAUGGUAUCUAUUUACUCACUAGGAUUUUAUAAUCUCACCACCUUCCUUUUCAACCAUUUCAGGCCCGACGUAGCUUGUAGAUAGCAGAUAUCGUUAAGGAUUAUAGUCGGCUUUACUACUCCAAAAACUGUAGGUUUACUGCCUUUGUGCACUUUUGUUCCUUGUGGGCCCACGAGUCACUAUAAAGUAAAUUUUAUAUCCUGGUUAUCUGUAUUAUAGUAUGUAUGAAUUUAUUUAGCUUUUAUAUUGCAAAAAAUUAUUUACCGAUGACUUUAUAAAUAUUGUUUUACAAGAAAUUAGAAUAUUUUAUUGAAUAUUUUUAUUUUAUUCAAAUAGUUGCAAUAUCAUUUUUAAUAAAUGUUUUAG
rnacentral:lncRNA from 1 species